UCUCUCUUUCUCUGCUGCAUCUUUCCCCUCUCGGCAUCUCACUGCUUCUUUUUCUUUUUACAAUCUCAAAGCUUGAUCUAGCUUUAAACUUUUGGAUUUUGGUAGAGCAUUGUGAAGCAAAGUUGGAGAGUUCGUCAAGGCCUUUAAUUUGAUAGGAGCCAAUCAUCAUUUGGUGCACUCUAGGGAGUUCAAAAUUCUAGGGUUCUUGGGCUUGGAUUUGGGGAUUUUGGGAGUUUUCACUUCCAUUGAGGACAUGGAAAAGAGGUGGCGGACGACGAUCCACCACAAUUUUAGACGAGCACGGAGACCUAUUUUAUUUUAUUUUUUGCUAUCUUUUGUAUUAAAACUCUCUAAUAUUUUGUAAAUGUAAUAUUAACUAACUCGUAAAACUUUAGUUUAAUUAGUAUAAUGUUGUAAGCCAUGAACUUUUAAAUUCUAACUACGCUUUUUGGACUGUAA